UGCAAUUUAUAUUCGUGGUUCUGUUAUAUCUAAAUAGGCUUUUAAGAAGUCAGUGACAUUUAAUGGUGCACCAUUAGCGUCCACUAAAGUGGAAGCUGAUAGUCUUAAAAAACUAAAAAAUAAAGCAACCAGCAGCACCCAAACGAAAGUGGACGCUGAUGGUUUUAGUAGAAGCUAAUGAUCCCAAAAACAAAAAAAAAUAAAGCAACCAUUAGCGUCCAAACGAAAGUGGAUGCUGAUGGUUGCACUAUUAAGUGGACGCUAAUGGUCUCAAAAACUAAAAAAAUAAAGCAACCAUCAGCGUCCAAACGAAAGUGAACGCUGAUGGUUGACAAAUGUCUCUAGGUGCUAGAAAGGAGAGGAGAGGAGGCGGCAUCCCCAAACUUAUCAGUUCUAGGUGGAGGCCCAAUACUUGAUUAUCUUCAAAGAGGUGAAUAUUCGCUAAGGUGGAGAUUGUUGGAACAAGUGGCUCAUAUUCUACUACUGGCCCAUUGGAUGUAAUUAGUUUAUGUGGCCUUGGGGAUAAAUAAGUUUUAGAGGGUAUUUUGGGGUUUUCCAAAAUAUUUACAAUUAGGGUUUUCCUAUAAAUAUGUUAUGUUGUAACCGUAAAUCAUUGAAUAGUAAAAUAUAGUCGCACUCUCUCUGUGGACGUAGGCACAUUGUCGAACCACGUAAAUCUGUGUCUUGACUCUCUCUUGAUCUCUCAUUUUGAUUCCAUAUUAUUCAUCAUUGUUGUGCACGGUAACAACACUUUCCUUCUUGCAAUGAUUGGUAUAUGCACAGUUAUAUUUUACUAGUGGGUGUUUGGACUGUAUUGGUUUCUCUUGUAUUGUGUUUUUAAUGAAGAUUUUAACUUUAGAAAAUGAAGAUGCAGAGUUAUCAUGCAUACCAUUGUAAGAGAAGGAGGAUUCUAUCCUGGAACCUGGAAGACCGGCCAAAACUGACAAGGCUGCCAUUUUGAGUGAUGCUAUGUGAGUGGUGGCCCAGUUACAAAGUGAAGCCCAGAAGCUAAAUGAAUCAAAUGAAGAUUAAAGAAUUGAAGGCUGAGAAGAAUAAGCUUCGUGAUGAGAAGCAGAGGCUCAAGGCGGACCAAGAGAAGUUUGAUUUGAAAUAUAGAUGCUUCUUCAUACCUUUGUGACAAUCAAAUAUAUGCAAAGCUCUAACAUUUCUACAAUUCAUGAAAUUGGUUAUGGGAAUUAGGUGGAAAUUUCUACAAUCUAUUUGGAUAUGACAAUCUCACUUCUUCCAAGUGACUAAUUUUGACGGUUUAUACCCACUUAUUUCUAAGAAGGAAGAGACAAACAAGAGACUUGCUUGAUAUUGAUAUUGCAACUCAUAUACAAGUCAAGGAAGAUGGACCAAAGAGGAGGUUGAUCUACGGGGGAUCUCCCUUUGAGACAAAGGAGUACUGCUUUCUCUUUUGCAGCAAUUAGCCUGUGAUAUCAAUAACGAUCUAUCCUAAAAAACUUGUUUGGAUGAUAGAUGUGGCUAAUGUCAUAAUCCCAAUAGAUCUGAUGAUUGCAAUGCAUGUGCGGCCCAUAUUUGACCAAGUCUAUAACAUACUCAACCAUCAAUGUAGCUAGCCUACAAUUACUAGUGUUGAGCUCACAAUUGUUCAGCUUCUAUUGCAUGUCAUGAAUUCCAUGCUCAUCGUGACUUGUAAAUGACUCUACUUUCUUUAAAUCGUGCAAAUUACAUUAAGCCAUGCUGUUAAUGUAUUGUGAAGGUUGUGCAAAUCUCACUGGGGAGGGGUCCCAACUGAGUAGAGUCAAAAUUAUCAUUAGGAUUAGUGAAAUCGGCUAGGUUCUUUGGAUUUAUUUCGUAGCUUCCCUUUGUU